CCAGACACGCAGCAGGUAACCACACACACACACACACAGAGCCAUGUUGAUAAAGGCUAAAGUAGACCAGACACGCAGCAGGUAACCACACACACACAGAGCCAUGUUGAUAAAGGCUAAAGUAGACCAGACACGCAGCAGGUAACCACACACACACACACACAGAGCCAUGUUGAUAAAGGCUAAAGUAGACCAGACACGCAGCAGGUAACCACACACACACACACACAGAGCCAUGUUGAUAAAGGCUAAAGUAGACCAGACACGCAGCAGGUAACCACACACACACACAGAGCCAUGUUGAUAAAGGCUAAAGUAGACCAGACACGCAGCAGGUAACCACACAACACACACACACACAGAGCCAUGUUGAUAAAGGCUAAAGUAGACCAGACACGCAGCAGGUAACCACACACACACACAGAGCCAUGUUGAUAAAGGCUAAAGUAGACCAGACACGCAGCAGGUAACCACACACACACACAGAGCCAUGUUGAUAAAGGCUAAAGUAGACCAGACACACAGCAGGUAACCACACACACACACACAGAGCCAUGUUGAUAAAGGCUAAAGUAGACCAGACACGCAGCAGGUAACCACACACACACACACACACAGAGCCAUGUUGAUAAAGGCUAAAGUAGACCAGACACGCAGCAGGUAACCACACACACACACACACAGAGCCAUGUUGAUAAAGGCUAAAGUAGACCAGACACGCAGCAGGUAACCACACACACACACACACAGAGCCAUGUUGAUAAAGGCUAAAGUAGACCAGACACGCAGCAGGUAACCACACACACACCACACACACACACACACACACCCACAGACACACACACACACACCACAC